rnacentral:rRNA from 1 species
GACGAACGCUGGCGGCGUGCUUAACACAUGCAAGUCGAACGACGAAGCUGGAGCUUGCUCCGGUGGAUUAGUGGCGAACGGGUGAGUAACACGUGAGCAAUCUGCCCUUGACUCUGGGAUAACUGCGGGAAACUGUAGCUAAUACCGGAUACUUUCACUGGAAGGCAUCUUCUGGUGAAGAAAGAAUUUCGGUCAAGGAUGAGCUCGCGGCCUAUCAGCUUGUUGGUGAGGUAACGGCUCACCAAGGCGACGACGGGUAGCCGGCCUGAGAGGGUGACCGGCCACACUGGGACUGAGACACGGCCCAGACUCCUACGGGAGGCAGCAGUGGGGAAUAUUGCACAAUGGGCGCAAGCCUGAUGCAGCAACGCCGCGUGAGGGAUGACGGCCUUCGGGUUGUAAACCUCUUUUAGUAGGGAAGAAGCGAAAGUGACGGUACCUGCAGAAAAAGCACCGGCUAACUACGUGCCAGCAGCCGCUGUAA